GCUUGCGGCGUGCUUAACACAUGCAAGUCGAACGAGAAAGGGAUCUUCGGAACCUGAGUAAAGUGGCGCACGGGUGAGUAACGCGUAGGUAAUCUACCCUAGUGUUUGGGACAACAUCGGGAAACUGGUGCUAAUACCGGAUACGCUUCUGGAAUCGCGAGGUUUUGGAAGGAAAGGUGGCCUCUUCAUGAAAGCUACUGCACAAGGAUGAGCCUGCGUACCAUUAGCUAGUAGGUGGGGUAAAGGCCCACCUAGGCGACGAUGGUUAGCGGGUCUGAGAGGAUGAUCCGCCACACUGGCACUGGAACACGGGCCAGACUCCUACGGGAGGCGGCAGUGAGGAAUUUUGCACAAUGGGGGAAACCCUGAUGCAGCGACGCCGCGUGAGUGAUGAAGGCUUUCGAGUCGUAAAGCUCUGUCAAUAGGGAAGAAAUGUGUGAUGGUUAAUACCCGUUGCAUUUGACGGUACCUAUAAAGGAAGCACCGGCUAAAUCCGUGCCAUCAGCCGC
rnacentral:rRNA from 1 species